rnacentral:lncRNA from 1 species
AUGACAGGCGUGAGCCACCGCACCUGGCCUUCUCUUUUUGAAUGAACUCGACUGCUUUCAACUGAAUACAUUAGGACAGAGGGCACCAGACCUUUACCAGGAAUGAGGCCGGGUGCAGUGGUUCAUGCCUAUCAUCCCAGCACUUUGGGAGGCCGAGGCAGGCGGAUCACCUGAGGCCAGGAGUUCAAGACCAGCCUGGCCAACAUGGUGAAAUCCCCGUCUCUAUUAAAAAUUUUUUAAAAAUUAGCUGGGCCUGGUGGUGUCCACCUGUAGUCUCAACUACUCGGGAGGCUGAGGCAGGAGAAUCGCUUGAACCUGGGCGGCAGAGGUUGCAGUGAGCCGAGAUGGCACCACUGCACUCCAGCCUGGGCGACAGAGUGAGACUUCGUCUCAGUUUAAAAAAAAAAAAAAAAGGAAUAAAAGCUGAAUGUCAAAAUAUAAAGUGGUCGUAGCGCAGUUGGGGUGAGGUGGAAUAUUUGAAUUCUGUAUCGUUGGGCUGGUUCAUUUUCUAAUUAUCCCUCAAAUGGCCUUACUCAUCCCCUCCUUACUUCCCAGUCCCACAGCUGCCUUCUUCCCUCCACAGCGUCAUAUUAAUUCCCUUUUGUAGCACGACUAGUUGGCAAUACACCUCCUUUGAUGACCACAGUGGGGUUUCUGUGACCCAAAUGUUAGCACCCUAGAGAUCAAUAUCAGAGCCUGGGUUCUAAGCAGGCUCCUCUCAGAAGGACAGUGUCCACAUUCAUCCUGACCACCAGCUCCAUCUACGAGAGAGAGCCCAAAGCUGCCCCCUGGGCGAUGGAGUCACACCGCUGCUGGCCUCUUGGGAGUACUCACUUGGACAGAACUGCAACGAAGCCAUGCCUGAAUUGAAGGGUGUGGGUCUCGUUGGCCAAAGACCGUCUUUCAUUGGAACUAGGAAUAAGAGUGUUAGUUCAUAGCACACCUGCUUUGUACAUAGCAAGUGCUUCUUAAAAAGGGCUUCGCUCUGUUGCCCAGGCAGGAGUGCAGUGUUGCAGUGAGCCGAGAUCACGCCACAGCACUCCAGCCUGGGCGACAGAGCGAGACUCUGUCUCAAAAAAUAAAUAAAUAAAUAAAAGGCUUUCAGAGAUAAGCAAUUGGAGUUCAGAAUUGUCUCUAGAAGACCACACUUAGAAGAAUACUGAUUUUAAAAGGGCUUCUCAGCCUCCACACUAUUGACGUUUUGGGCCAGUUAGUUCUUGGUUGUGGGGGCUGUCCUGUACUGCUCUGCGUGAUGUUUGGCAGUAUUCCUGGCCUCUACCCACCAGAUGUCCUACUGAACACCCCCCUCCCCAAGUCAUGGCAAUCAAAACAGGCACAGCCUCUGGUGGGCAGAAUCACCUCCCUUUGAGAACUCUUCCCAGCAGCGUUCCCCACCUUACCCCCCAACACAGAGGUCUUGCAGGUAACAUAGCUAUCCCAAGCUAUUCCAAAGCUGAGUGAACGAGAACCAGAACUCCAGGGCUCAUUCCACCAGGCUGUACCACAGUUUUACUUUGUGUGUGAACAAAAGAACAUUUUCAUUAUCUCUGGUAACAAGAAGAGAAAGUCGAGUCCCUGCAGGGAAACAGAUGCCUUCUGUGGGCUCACUGGGGUUUCCUUUCUCCCUGGGCUGUAAGGGGGCCGUUCCUCUCACAGCGUGCAUGUGGCAGGGAGAUGUCUUCCGGGGUCAUAG